UACACAUUUCACUUUCAGAUUUGCUUGCUAGCUAUUGAUCUUUUGAUAGGAAUCAACUCAGAUUAGGUUUGAGCUUUUCUCAAUAGAUCUAUUUUUUUUAAUUGAUUUUUAUGUUAGGUUUGAACUUUUCUCAAUCAAUCAAUUUAUUUUAUUGAUUUUUCUUUUGUUUCUCAAGUGACAAAUUCAACUCAAGUUAGGUUUGAGCUUUUCUCGAUAGAUCAAUUUUUUCUUGAUCUUUCCUUUGUUGUUUAAGUGACAAAUUCAACUCGGUUUAGGUUUGAGCUUUUCUCAAUAGAUCAAUUGUUUAUUGAUUUUUCCUUAGUUUCUUAAGUGACAGAUUCAACUUAAGUUAGGUUUGAGUUGUUUUCAAUAGAUCAAUUUUUUUAGUUAAUUUUUCCUUUGUUACUCAAGUGACAGAUUCAACUCAGGUUAGAUUUGAGCGUUUCUCAAUAGAUCUAAGACGAUCAAACAAUUCCCAAUCAUGGUCCUUGCGGAUCGGAUCUUUUUUAAUUGAUUUUUAGGUUAGGUCUGAAUUUUUCUCAAUUGAUCAAUAGAUCAAAUUUUUUUAAUUGAUUUUCCUUUGUUGCUCAAAUGACGAAUUCAACUGAGGUUAGGUUUGAGCUUUUCUCGACAAAUCCAUUUUUUAUUGAUUUUUCCUUUAUUGCUCAAGUGGCAGAUCCAACUCAUGUUAGGUUAAGAUUUUCUCAAUAGAUCAAUUUCUUUUGUUGAUUUUUUUCUUAGUUUCUCAAGUGACAGAUUCAACUCAAGUUAGGUUUGAGCUUUUUUCAGUACAUCAAUUCUUUUUAUUGAUUUUUCCUUUGAUGCUCAAGUGACAGAUUCAACUCAGGUUAGGUUUGAGCUUUUCUCAAUAGAUCAAAUAAUUUAUUGAAUUUUCCUUUGUUGCUCAAGUGUCAGAUUCAACUCAAGUUAGGACUAGUUUCUCAAUUGAUCUUUUGACAAAUUCAACUAGAUCCAGAUUCAACUCAAGUUAGGUCUGAGAUUUUCUCAAUGGAUCAACUUUUAAAAAAAAGUUGGUGUUCGGGAUAUCUUAUGCACACCUCGACUAUUCCACCAGUUUGCAAAAGGUGCAUCUAUCAAGCAGUUCAAGAAACUAGGUGCUGCCCACGAUGCAAAGUCUUCACUUGAAGUGAGUGUAGUUAAUGGGAUUGAGGCAGCAGGUUAGUGUGUUUGUAGAGGCAUCAGGACAGCAUUGAUCUUCGCAGCUUUUUCAUACUUGUACCAUUUACUGCAUCAAUAUCGUAAGUUGUUGCACUGGCAAAUUUCCUGUAGACCGCUGAGUAGAAGAGGAUUGGCCAAUUCAUGGUAUCUACAACCCGGUGACCGGAAGAAUUAAUACAAUUCUUAUGGUUCUGGUGAUUGUCUUCAGCUGGUUUAUCACACUGAGGACAGGGAUUAGUUGCAAGACACCUGCAUUUAUGCUUAUCACCAGCAAAAAAUGAGAUGUUCCUACAAAAUGAGGUUGGCAUCAAAAACCAAAUAUGUCAGUGUCUGAUGAUAAGGGGAAAUACCGAAAACAAAGACCCAAAAUAGGAACGUUACCAAGUUUCUGUCUCUUUCCCUGGACGUGUAGUUUCCGUUUCUUCCUUAACUUGCGCUCUGGUGUAAGAUGAAUUUUAUUGUACUCGUUUUCAGAAUCUUGUUCCCCUUUAGAUGGUUGAUACAUAUCACUCGGGAGUCUAACAUUGCCUGUUAGAUUCCAUUUGUUUUAAUUUCCAAGAAGAAUCAAAUUUGGAUAUAGUUGUUAAGUUGCUUUGAUCUUAUGCUACAUCCAAAUUAGAUUCUUCUUGGAAUCCAAAAUGGAAUCAAACAGCAAAGUUAGACUCCCUCGAUUUGUAUCAGCCAUCUAAUAACAAGUUUCUGAAAAAGAGGGCAAUAAAAUUCACCUUACACCAGAGAGCAAGUUAAGGAAGAAAAGGAAACUGUAUGUCCAGGGAAAGUGACACAAACUUGGUAACGUUGCUCCUAUUUUAGGUCUUUGUUUUCGGUAUUUCUCCUUAUCAUCAGACACUGACAUAUUUGGUUUUUGAUGUCAACCUCAUUUUCUAGGAACAUCUCAUUUUCUGCUGAUGAUAAGCAUAAAUGCAGGUGUCUUGCAACUAAUCCCCAUCCUCAGUGUGAUAAACUAGCUGAAGACAAUCACCAGAACCAUAAGAAUUGUAUUAUUUCUUCCGGUCACCGGGUUUUAGAUACCAUGAAUUGGCCAAUACUCUUCUACUCAGCGGUCUACAGGAAAUUUGCCAGUGCAACAACAUGGAAUAUUGGUGCAGUAAAUGGUACAAGUAUGAAAAGCAGAAAAAACUGCGAAGAUCAAUGCCGUCCUGAUGCCUCAACAAACACACUAACCUGCCUCAAUCUUCUUACCUACACCCAGUUCAUAUGGAGAUGGAGAGGAUACAAAAGGAGAGAACAAAUUACGAAAUUGCAUGAAGAUGUUAUUUGUCCUUCCGACCUCUGUCCUUUUCUUGUUCAUUUCUGCAUCUUUCAAUUUAUUGUUUAUUUUUUAAUUUGAAUAUUACGAUGCUACAGAUUCCAAAGAUUACUUAAGGUUUCAGUUAUAAAAUGAUAUGCAGAAAUUGCUAAUGAAAUUGAAAAAGAGCUAGAUUCAAUUAUGAAGAAGUAUGAUUUGCAGCUUCAGAUUGCUGAAAUGGAAUUAGUUCAAAAGAAAAAAGAUCUUGAUACGAUCUACAACAAAGUGCACGUGCAUGAGUUAUGCUUUAUUAUAUUAUAGUUUUGCAUUUCUUUGAACUAGUUAGUUAUAUAAAAAUCAUUUAUUAACUACCAUUGUCACAUAAAGAACUAGGAAAUUUUAAACUUUUCCCUUCUAUUUGAUUAUAUACUAAUGAUUACUUAACACAGAUAAAGAAACCUAUGAAUGAGAAGGGGAGCAAACCAUUUGAAUGAUCUCAAAUUAAAAAGACGAUACAAACAUGUAAAGGUGGAUGUUGUAUGCUGCAGUGAAAAGCUGAAUGGAGAUAUGACGCUCAAGGACAUUCAUCUUAUAUGAAUGUUACACCUUCUCAAUUCUGUAAGGGAAAAGGGUAAAUGGGACUUGAAGGAGCUUGUGAAUGAGGUAGGGUACAUCAGAAGCAAGAAGACUGAGACUCCCCAAAAGAAACAAGUGUGGCUACUGGCUAUCAUGGUUUAAAAGAAACGAACUUCCUAUCUCACAACAGACUAAAGACUAUCAGUAGCCAAUUUCUGUACUUGUAUAGUAAUAGCCUCAGAGCUAUUGGUACCUUUCUUUGCUUUAUUAUCGGCAAACAAUCUAUGCAUAGUUUCUUAUCAAAUAUUA